GGGCCCGCACAAGCGGCGGAGCGUGCGGUUUAAUUCGACGCAACGCGCAGAACCUUACCAGGGAUUGACAUGCUCCUGCGAGACCGGGAAACCGGGAAGCCUUCGAGGGAGGAGCACAGGUGCUGCAUGGCUGUCGUCAGCUCGUGUCGUGAGAUGUUGGGUUAAGUCCCGCAACGAGCGCAACCCCCGUGUGUAGUUGUCGAUGUUUCUACACAGACUGCCGCGAGCAACGCGGAGGAAGGUGGGGAUGACGUCAAGUCAGCAUGGCCCUUACAUCCUGGGCAACACGCACGCUACAAUGGGUGGGACAGCGGGUAGCCAAGCCGCAAGGUGGAGCGAAUCCCAAAAACCCAUUCUCAGUUGGAAUUGUGGGCUGCAACUCGCCCGCAUGAACGUGGAGUCGCUAGUAACCGCAGGUCAGCACUACUGCGGUGAAUACGUUCCCGGGCCUU
rnacentral:rRNA from 1 species